CAGUCACAUGAUCUCAUGGCAUGAAGUCACAUGAUUGCUAAGAUGUAGUCCAUUCGUGUUCGCCAGAGAAUAUGG